rnacentral:misc_RNA from 1 species
GUGAAUCAUCAAAUUUUUGUACGCAAAUUGCAAUCUUUUCGGAGAGUAUGCCUGUUUGAGGGUCAGUCUAUAAAAAAUUGACAUUGUUGUUGUUUCGCGGUGGCGUUUGUUGGAAAUUGGGUCAUUUUCCAUGUUUUGGUUUUAAGCGACUUAAAAUCUUUUUUUUGGUUCCAUGAACGUUUCUAAGAUUUAUUUACUUACACGUUUAUGGUAUCGAUUUUUAUUAGACGUGUUCAUCAUAUCGGAUCGCGCCCAUACUUUUUCAUUAACUGAU